GCCUCUUGGGGCAAAGGAGAAGCCAGCUGUCAGUCCGAAGCCCUGCCCAGGGCACAACCUCCAGGAUGAUUCUCAGGACAGGCAGUGGACGGAGCACCAGGCGGCCAGUGUCGAUGCUCCCACCGUGGCUGAUUUCGAGCUACCAACACGACGUCACUGAACGUGGAGUUGGGAAGAGAUGCAGACAAUCAUUUCUGGUGCCGGCUGAACCCAGCCCUAUCCCACCACCUCCCCUCACACCCCCUCAGAUCUGUGCCAUGGAACGCAGUCAGGUCCUGGGAAAGAGCGUGGGCUUUGGAGUCGGACAGAUGGAGUUCAGAGCCCAGCUUUUCUGAUUUCAACACCAGUGUGGUCAUGGGAAAAAAUAUUGUA